rnacentral:lncRNA from 1 species
CACAUGUAGUCCGCCACCAGAAGAGGAACCGAUCUAGCCGCCAAAGCCGUAGAGGGUGCGGCCCUGGCGCUUGAGCGCGUAGACGACGUCCAUGGCGGUGACGGUCUUGCGGCGGGCGUGCUCGGUGUAGGUGACGGCGUCGCGGAUGACGUUCUCGAGGAAGAUCUUGAGCACUCCGCGGGUCUCCUCGUAGAUGAGGCCGGAGAUGCGCUUGACGCCGCCCCUCCUGGCCAGCCUCCGGAUCGCCGGCUUGGUGAUGCCCUGGAUGUUGUCGCGGAGCACCUUACGGUGGCGCUUGGCGCCGCCCUUGCCCAGACCCUUGCCGCCCUUGCCGCGCCCCGACAUCGCCGGAAACCGGGAAGCUUCGCUCGCAGCAACCGCUCGGAGGAAUUGGAAUCU